rnacentral:rRNA from 1 species
UACGAAGGGUGCAAGCGUUGUUCGGAAUCAUUGGGCGUAAAGCGCGCGCAGGCGGAUUCGUAAGUCAGAUGUGAAAUCUCGGGGCUCAACCUCGAAACUGCGUCUGAAACUACGAGUCUAGAAUGUCGGAGGGGGCAGGGGAAUUUCACGUGUAGGGGUAAAAUCCGUAGAGAUGUGAAGGAACACCGGAGGCGAAGGCGCCUGCCUGGACGACUAUUGACGCUGAGGCGCGAAAGCGUGGGGAGCAAAC